AUUGAACGCUGGCGGCAGGCCUAACACAUGCAAGUCGAACGAGCGGCGGACGGGUGAGUAAUGUCUGGGAACCUGCCUGAUGGAGGGGGAUAACUACUGGAAACGGUAGCUAAUACCGCAUACCAUCGGAUGUGCCCAGAUGGGAUUAGCUUGUUGGUGGGGUAAAGGCUCACCUAGGCGACGAUCUCUAGCUGGUCUGAGAGGAUGACCGGCCACACUGGAACUGAGACACGGGCCAGAUUCCUACGGGAGGCAGCAGUGGGGAAUAUUGCACAAUGGGCGCAAGCCUGAUGCAGCCAUGCCGCGUGUAUGAAGAAGGCCUUAGGGUUGUAAAGUACUUUCAGCGGGGAGGCGUUACCCGCAGAAGAAGCACCGGCUAACUCCGUGCCAGCAGCCGCGGUAAUUC
rnacentral:rRNA from 1 species